CAUUUUGGGCCGAAAGCAACGUAAAGCUGCAAGCAGCGCUCACCCACCCUCAGAGCUGCUUUACAAUGUAUCAGCGAUACCUGCGCACACAGCCCUCGGAUUUCCCCCCAGCUUUAUUGAGAUAUACUUGACAGAGCUCCCUUCUUCAGCUGUGGCCAGAUCUACUCUCUUAGCAAAUUUCAAGACUACAAGACAGUGUUAUUAACCAGAAUCCCCACACCUCACAUUGGACCCCCAGAACCUGUUCAUCCUCCAUAACCGCAACUUUGUACCCCUUGACCAAUACCUCCCCAUUUCCUCCAAGCCCCAACCUCUGAUAGCCACCAUUCUAAUCUCUGCUUUUAUGAGUUCAGCUCUUUCAGAGACCUCGCCUUCUUUUAAAGCACGGAGAGGAUUCCAUUGUAUGGAUAUACCGGAGAGGAUUCCAUUGUAUGGAUAUACCGUAGUUUCUUCAACCACUCCCUAUGCAGAUAUAGGUUACUUCUGUUGUUUUUUCCCUCUUUUUUACAA
rnacentral:lncRNA from 1 species